rnacentral:lncRNA from 1 species
UCACAUCCUCUCUAGCAUUUCUUAUUUGUUGACAUGUUCCUGAUGGCCAUUCUGACCUGUGUGAGGUGGAGAAGGACUUUCUAAUGAUCAGCUCUUCUCUCACAGGAGACCCUGCCAUGGAGAAUGUGAAUUUUCAUCCUUGAAAACAUCCAUCAGAUGCUCAAAGUCCUGGGUUGGGAAGGAGGAGGCUCUAGGCAACCUCUGAGGCCCUUCUGAUACUAAGAUGGAAACAGUGAUCCACUUUCCUCCCUCCGAGUGUGCCUGGAUGUCACCCCUCAGGGUCUCCCAGGUUGGAAAUGGCUUUCCCAACAUGAAAGGAGGAAGAGGAAGGUAGGCAUAAGAAGUGGGAAACAGAGACAGAAUUUCCAACUGAGAAAUAAAAGGAGAUAAAAGGGUGACA